rnacentral:rRNA from 1 species
GGGGAAUAUUGGACAAUGGGCGAAAGCCUGAUCCAGCGACGCCGCGUGGGUGAAGAAGGCCUGCGGGUUGUAAAGCCCUUUUGGUGGGGAAGAAAAGCCUCGAGUUAACACCUCGGGGUCUUGACGUAACCCAUAGAAGAAGCACCGGCUAACUCCGUGCCAGCAGCCGCGGUAAUACGGGGGGUGCGAGCGUUGUCCGGAAUCACUGGGCGUAAAGGGCGCGUAGGUGGCGUGAUAAGGGUGUGGUGAAAGCCCGGGGCUCAACCCCGGGUCGGCCAUGCCGACUGUCAGGCUCGAGUGCUGUAGGGGCAGGCGGAAUUCCGGGUGUAGCGGUGGAAUGCGUAGAGAUCCGGAGGAAGACCGGUGGCGAAGGCGGCCUGCUGGGCAGUUACUGACACUGAGGCGCGACAGCGUGGGGAGCAAAC